rnacentral:rRNA from 1 species
ACAUGCAGUCGAACGGAAACGAUGGGAGCUUGCUCCCAGGCGUCGAGUGGCGGACGGGUGAGUAACACAUAGGAAUCUGCCCAGUAGCGGGGGACAACUUGGGGAAACUCAAGCUAAUACCGCAUACGCCCUACGGGGGAAAGCGGGGGACCUUCGGGCCUCGCACNAUUGGAUGAGCCUAUGUCAGAUUAGCUUGUUGGUGGGGUAAUGGCCUACCAGGGCGACGAUCUGUAGCUGGUCUGAGAGGACGAUCAGCCACACUGGGACUGAGACACGGCCCAGACUNAUACGGGAGGCAGCAGUGGGGAAUAUUGCACAAUGGGCGAAAGCCUGAUGCAGCAAUGCCGCGUGUGUGAAGAAGGCCUGCGGGUUGUAAAGCACUUUCAGUGGGGAGGAAACAGUUGC